UACAGAGGGGGCAAGCGUUGUUCGGAAUUACUGGGCGGUAAAGGGCGCGUAGGCGGCCUGCUAAGUCGGAACGUGAAAUCCCUGGGCUCAACCCAGGAACUGCGUCCGAUACUGGUUGGCUUGAAUCCGGGAGAGGGAUGCGGAAUUCCGAGUGUAGAGGUGAAAUUCGUAGAUAUUCGGAAGAACACCAGUGGCGAAGGCGGCUAUCUGGACGGUUACUGACGCUAAGGAGCGAAAGCGUGGGGAGCGAACAGG
rnacentral:rRNA from 1 species